rnacentral:rRNA from 1 species
CCUACGUGAGGCAGCAGUGAGGAAUAUUGGUCAAUGGACGAGAGUCUGAACCAGCCAAGUAGCGUGAAGGAUGACUGCCCUAUGGGUUGUAAACUUCUUUUAUAAAGGAAUAAAACGAGGCACGUGUGCCUUUUUGCAUGUACUUUAUGAAUAAGGCUCGGCUAACUCCGUGCCAGCAGCCGCGGUAAUACGGAGGAUCCGAGCGUUAUCCGGAUUUAUUGGGUUUAAAGGGAGCGUAGAUGGGUUGUUAAGUCAGCGGUCAAAUCGUGGGGCUCAACCCCAUCCAGCCGUUGAAACUGGGGAUCGAGAGUGUGCGAGAGGGAUGCGGAAUGCGUGGUGUAGCGGUGAAAUGCAUAGAGAGCACGCAGAACCCCGAUUGCGAAGGCAGCAUACCGGUGCACAACUGACGCUCAGGCACGAAAGCGUGGGUAUCGAACAGGAUUAGAUACCCCUGUAGUC